rnacentral:lncRNA from 1 species
AUUGGAGCCUUCCAUGGAGCCCCAGAGAGAAUCCAACCCUGAGACCCAGGUAUGGCAAAGACAUGGAAAAAAAAAACCCAAAACAACAGAUUGGUGGGGAUAUAAAACCCCCCAGGAACGCUCCUUAUAUUAAGAUCUAACACAGCAUCAUCUACCUGCUUAUUUCUCCAAAAAAAAAAAAAAAAAAAAUCCUGAUAAGAUAAAUAUUCAAAUGUAUGAACUAUUUCCAAAGUAUUUGACACUGUGUAAAAGUGUUCCCAGCAUAUACUUUUGUAUGAUAUUUGAAUAUUUAAAAUCAUGCUGCUUUUCUCAUUAUAAGAUAUUACUAUAGGUGUAUAUUUUCCCUCCAUUUCCCCUUUGUAUGAACAUAAAAAAUCUUUGGUGCAAAAAGCACCAAAGUCCACCAGCAAUGAAGGCGCACUUGUGAAACUCAUUUGCACUUAACCACAAAGUGCUGAAGUGUGUGCCUCAAAUCUUUUGACUUUGUGCUGAAAGAAAUGGAACUGUUCAUGCAAUUACCUUCAGAUGUUUAUUUAGGUGCUUUGCUGAUCAGGUUUAAGUGCGAAAACAUUAUCUAAUGAUUGAUCUUCAAAAUCUCUCACUGCAAAAACAUGUUGGCAAUAUAGAACUCUGUUGUAAUAACACAGGAAAAACUGUGAAUUAACGUGAGUCAGGAGACAAAACUGAGCAGAAGCUCAGACAGUGACCCAGAUCUCAGGCACUGCUGGUCAGAGUGUCUUCCCUAGUUUUGUAUUAUGAGUUUUAUUUAUAUAACAUUUCACAGUGCUUAUGCGAGCCCUCAUUCCCCAAAAGGGCUAGGACAGGCAGGAGUGAAAUGUCCUAUAAAAGGAUGGUACUCAGAUGGCAAACCUUGGGGCCAGCUUGUACUGCCUUCUGCACUUUCCUGUUGUAGACAUCUCCUGGAGUUUUGUAUUAAAUCCCAGUAUUCCCAUUCAUGAAGAACAAGUGCAAGAGUGCAUGCCUGUAUCAGAGGAUUUGGAGAUGUGUAUGCAUGAUCCACAGAAGCAUGCAGUUAUUUAUGACAUCACCCCUGCAGAACAAACAGCAGUUCCUUGGCCAGGUGAGAGCAAAUCCCCUCUCAGCCUGCUUCAAACCAAGGGCACAAAUGUGCAGGCAACAAGAGAAAUGGGCCCAGGCAUCUCAGGAUGCAACUACAGCACCACAUAACAAGGAAGAUGUUUUCUGGCUUUCAAUGAAGAACCCACCAGUGGAUUAGAAGCACUAGUUCAAGGAAAGUGUGG